UGCAAGUGGAGCGACGAACCAGGGCUUGCCCUGGAGCAAAGCCGCGAACGGGUGAGUAACACGUGGGUAACCUACCCCAAUGACUGGGACAACCCGAGGAAACUCGGGCUAAUACCGGACGUGCUCACCGUCCAUCAGGACGGUGAGGAAAGGAAGCUUCGGCCUCCGCAUCGGGAGGGGCCCGCGGCCCAUUAGCUAGUUGGUGAGGUAACGGCUCACCAAGGCUGCAAUGGGUAGCUGGUCUGAUAGGACGAUCAGCCACACUGGGACUGAGACACGGCCCAGACUCCUACGGGAGGCAGCAGUGGGGAAUCUUGCGCAAUGCGCGAAAGCGUGACGCAGCAACGCCGCGUGGGGGAAGAAGGCUUUCGGGUCGUAAACCCCUUUCAGUAGGGACGAAGGUGUGGCGGUGAAUAGCCGUCCACACUGACGGUACCUGCAAAAGAAGCCCCGGCUAACUACGUGCCAGCAGCCGCGGUAAUACGUAGGGGGCUAGCGUUGUCCGGAAUUAUUGGGCGUAAAGAGCACGUAGGCGGCCCGGUUAGUCCGCUGUAAAAGUCAAAGGCUCAACCUUUGAAUGCCGGUGGAUACUGCCAGGCUAGAGUCCGGAAGAGGCGAGUGGAAUUCC
rnacentral:rRNA from 1 species